CCUACGGGUGGCAGCAGUGAGGAAUAUUGGUCAAUGGACGAGAGUCUGAACCAGCCAAGUAGCGUGAAGGAUGACUGCCCUAUGGGUUGUAAACUUCUUUUAUAUGGGAAUAAAAUGUUCCACGUGUGGGAUUUUGUAUGUACCAUAUGAAUAAGGAUCGGCUAACUCCGUGCCAGCAGCCGCGGUAAUACGGAGGAUCCGAGCGUUAUCCGGAUUUAUUGGGUUUAAAGGGAGCGUAGGUGGAUUGUUAAGUCAGUUGUGAAAGUUUGCGGCUCAACCGUAAAAUUGCAGUAGAAACUGGCAGUCUUGAGUACAGUAGAGGUGGGCGGAAUUCGUGGUGUAGCGGUGAAAUGCUUAGAUAUCACGAAGAACUCCGAUUGCGAAGGCAGUUCACUGGACUGCAACUGACACUGAGGCUCGAAAGUGUGGGUAUCAAACAGGAUUAGAUACCCUAGUAGUC
rnacentral:rRNA from 1 species